CCUGAAAUGAAAUGUACCUUGCACUGUCAACAGUAUCUGAUAGACAAGUUGUUGACCUUUGAUUUUAAUUAAAUUGAUUUAUCAUGUUUAUUUCCAGGAGUGUAUUUUGAGUGGUAUGAUGUCAGUGAGUGGUAAAAAAGUACUGCAUAUAGACAGGAACAAGUAUUACGGAGGAGAUAUCGCAUCUAUUACUCCGCUGGAAGACAUGUUCCAAAUGUAUGGAAUGAAGAUGCCUGAAGACCGGUUUGGAAGAGGCAGAGACUUGGAACGUGGACCUGAUUCCAAAGUUCCUCAUGGCUAAUGGUCAGCUGGUGAAGUUGCUGAUUUACACUGGUGUAACCCGUUACCUAGAGUUCAAGUGUUUGGAGGGCAGUUACGUCUGCAAGGGAGGCAAGGUGUAUAAAAUGCCUGCCGACGAGAAGGAAGCCCUCACUACAAGUAG